rnacentral:lncRNA from 1 species
GGAGUUCGUCGACACCAAUUCUUGGCUCCCUCCUCUCCUCUUCCUCUUCCCUUCACUUCUCCGAGAGCCCCAACAACUUCCACCCCCACAACUCUCCCAACCCCAACCUUCACACCUUAUCCUGCCACUUCUCCCCUGCCUCAGAUGGCCUUCACGACCAGAGCCCGUCCCUCGGCAUCCGGAGAAGCCGCUCCGACGGCAAUCUCCACUCCUUCCUCUCCGACCAGUCUGACGACCCCAACCAUCACAACCACCUCCUCCCCCCGUCCCUGAAGUGCUCCUCCGCUCGACGCGCCCAUCCAGCUCUCGAGAGCAUUCCUUCAUUCUCCUCGCGCAAUCCAAACACUCUGCUAGAAGAGGAGGAGGAGGAGGAAGAUGACCAAGAGAAUGACGAGCAGGGCGCGGCUGGAGGAUUUGGCUUCGCGAGCGACGAUCGAAAAGGUGGGUUGAAAUAUCCGAAUCCCGACGCCGAAAGCCCCGCGCCACCACCUUUGUUCCUCGCUAGGGGUCUCGGGAUCGACCGGGUCGGAUCCGGGUUACUGACUGCGGGCUGUGGUGAUGGUGGCAUCGGCGGCGGCCGCAGUGGUAAGUGGGAUGUUUUGACGGGCAACGGCGGAGAGCAGUCGGAUGUGGAGACGUACUACAAGAAGAUGGUGGAGGAGAACCCCAGCAAUGCUCUGUUCCUGAGGAAUUAUGCGCAGUAUCUCUACCAGGUAUCGUUGCUGCUGCUUCGCAUCGGCUUUGUAUGAAAGAGAAGCAUUCUUUGCCUCGAAUGAUUUCACCGUAUCUGAAUUAUCCGUCGAUUGCUAUACUAAAUUCUUUCGUAUUGUAGGC